rnacentral:misc_RNA from 1 species
ACACCCCAUCAAGCCUGGCUUGGUAUUGGGCGACGGGACCUCCCCGCGCCCCGAUUUCGCCGGCUGGACGACCCCGAUCUCUCAAGCGUUGUACAAUCUCGCUGGUGAGAGGGGCGGCCACGCCGUUAACCUUAAUCAAUUCAAG